rnacentral:tmRNA from 1 species
AUGCUUGUGAUUAGCACAUCAUGGGUUUAUAAUACAGGUAAUGGUAGUAAACCAAAGAUCAGAAUAGGCGUGCCGGACGUGGCUUCGACGCCACCACCUCCACCAAGAGCAUCCUGGAUAAGGAGUCUCAUGCCGCUGCCACUGCGGUGUUAGGAUAGAUAAGCCCACGGUUAACAAAAACGGGCAGAUGGAUGUUCUUGAUGGGGGUGAUUUGGGAUCGACGGGCGCAAUAAAGGGUUCGAGGCUACUCGGUGAGACACGCCGUUAAUGUUCAACAAGCAAUAGUUGCAAACGACAACGAAGCUUUGGCUGUUGCUGCCUAACGGCAGUUGGCCUGAAUAAAACUCCUAGCGGUUAAGUCCCUCUAGGCGGGGCUCGAGGGCGCCUGGCAACAGAAGCCCUCACU